UCUUGAAUGAGCAAAGAAAGUGGUUUCUUGAGAUGGAAUCUACUCCUGGUGAAGAUACUGUGAA
rnacentral:pre_miRNA from 1 species